rnacentral:rRNA from 1 species
CUGAACUUAAGCAUAUCAAUAAGCGGAGGAAAAGAAACUAACAAGGAUUCCCCUAGUAACUGCGAGUGAAGCGGGAAAAGCUCAAAUUUAAAAUCUGGCGGUCUUUGGCCGUCCGAGUUGUAGUCUGGAGAAGUGCUUUCCGCGCUGGACCGUGUACAAGUCUCUUGGAACAGAGCGUCGUAGAGGGUGAGAAUCCCGUCUUUGACACGGACUACCAGUGCUUUGUGAUGCGCUCUCAAAGAGUCGAGUUGUUUGGGAAUGCAGCUCAAAAUGGGUGGUGAAUUCCAUCUAAAGCUAAAUAUUGGCGAGAGACCGAUAGCGAACAAGUACCGUGAGGGAAAGAUGAAAAGCACUUUGGAAAGAGAGUUAAACAGUACGUGAAAUUGCUGAAAGGGAAACGCUUGAAGUCAGUCGCGUCGUUCAGAACUCAGCCUUGCUUUCGCUUGGUGCAUUUUCUGACUGACGGGCCAGCAUCGAUUUUGAUCGUCGGAAAAGGGCUGGAGUAAUGUGGCACCUUCGGGUGUGUUAUAGACUCUGGUCGCAUACGACGGUUGGGGAACGAGGAACGCAGCGCGCCGUAAGGCAGGGGUCCGUCCCACUUUCGCGCUUAGGAUGCUGGCAUAAUGGCUUUAAACGACCCGUCUUGAAACACGGACCAAGGAGUCUAACAUGCCUGCGAGUGUUUGGGUGGAAAACCCGAGCGCGUAAUGAAAGUGAAAGUUGAGACCUCUGUCGUGGAGGGCAUCGACGCCCGGACCUGACGUUCUCUGACGGAUCCGCGGUAGAGCAUGUAUGUUGGGACCCGAAAGAUGGUGAACUAUGCCUGAAUAGGGUGAAGCCAGAGG